rnacentral:rRNA from 1 species
GACGUACGCUGGCGGCGUGCCUAAUACAUGCAAGUAGAACGCACAGUUUAUACCGUAGCUUGCUACACCAUAGACUGUGAGUUGCGAACGGGUGAGUAACGCGUAGGUAACCUGCCUGGUAGCGGGGGAUAACUAUUGGAAACGAUAGCUAAUACCGCAUAAUAUUGAUUAUUGCAUGAUAAUUAAUUGAAAGGUGCAAUUGCACCACUACCAGAUGGACCUGCGUUGUAUUAGCUAGUAGGUGAGGUAACGGCUCACCUAGGCGACGAUACAUAGCCGACCUGAGAGGGUGAUCGGCCACACUGGGACUGAGACACGGCCCAGACUCCUACGGGAGGCAGCAGUAGGGAAUCUUCGGCAAUGGACGAAAGUCUGACCGAGCAACGCCGCGUGAGUGAAGAAGGUUUUCGGAUCGUAAAGCUCUGUUGUAAGAGAAGAACGGGUGUGAGAGUGGAAAGUUCACACUGUGACGGUAUCUUACCAGAAAGGGACGGCUAACUACGUG